rnacentral:rRNA from 1 species
ACGCUGGCGGCGUGCUUAACACAUGCAAGUCGAACGGUGACCCAGGGCUUGCCCUGGUGAUCAGUGGCAAACGGGUGAGUAACACGUGGGCAACCUGCCCCUGACUUCGGGAUAACUCCUCGAAAGAGGAGCUAAUACCGGAUACGACCACUUCGGACAUCCGAUGGUGGUGGAAAGUUUUUCGGUCAGGGAUGGGCCCGCGGCCUAUCAGCUAGUUGGUGGGGUAAUGGCCUACCAAGGCGACGACGGGUAGCCGGCCUGAGAGGGCGACCGGCCACACUGGGACUGAGACACGGCCCAGACUCCUACGGGAGGCAGCAGUGGGGAAUAUUGCGCAAUGGGCGAAAGCCUGACGCAGCGACGCCGCGUGAGGGAUGAAGGCCUUCGGGUUGUAAACCUCUUUCAGCAGGGACGAAGCGAAAGUGACGGUACCUGCAGAAGAAGCACCGGCUAACUACGUG